CAGUCGCCACGGUAAUACGUAGGUGGCAAGCGUUGUCCGGAAUUAUUGGGCGUAAAGGGCCCGCAGGCGGUUUCUUAAGUCUGAUGUGAAAGCCCCCGGCUCAACCGGGGAGGGUCAUUGGAAACUGGGAAACUUGAGUGCAGAAGGGGAGAGUGGAAUUCCACGUGUAGCGGUGAAAUGCGUAGAGAUGUGGAGGAACACCAGUGGCGAAGGCGACUCUCUGGUCUGUAACUGACGCUGAGGAGCGAAAGCGUGGGGAGCGAACAGGAUUAGAUACCCCCGUAGUCCCUGUCUCUUAUAC
rnacentral:rRNA from 1 species